AGAGUUUGAUCCUGGCUCAGAUUGAACGCUGGCGGCAUGCCUAACACAUGCAAGUCGAACGGCAGCACAGCAGUAGCAAUACUGUGGGUGGCGAGUGGCGGACGGGUGAGUAAUGCAUCGGGACCUACCUGAACGUGGGGGAUAACGUAGGGAAACUUACGCUAAUACCGCAUACGUCCUACGGGAGAAAGCGGGGGACCUUCGGGCCUCGCGCGGUCAGACGGACCGAUGUUCGAUUAGCUAGUUGGUAAGGUAACGGCUUACCAAGGCGACGAUCGAUAGCUGGUCUGAGAGGAUGAUCAGCCACACUGGAACUGAGACACGGUCCAGACUCCUACGGGAGGCAGCAGUGGGGAAUAUUGGACAAUGGGCGCAAGCCUGAUCCAGCAAUGCCGCGUGUGUGAAGAAGGCCUUCGGGUUGUAAAGCACUUUUAUCAGG
rnacentral:rRNA from 1 species